rnacentral:rRNA from 1 species
UACGUAGGGCGCAAGCGUUAUCCGGAAUUAUUGGGCGUAAAGAGCUCGUAGGCGGUUUGUCGCGUCUGCCGUGAAAGUCCGGGGCUCAACUCCGGAUCUGCGGUGGGUACGGGCAGACUAGAGUGAUGUAGGGGAGACUGGAAUUCCUGGUGUAGCGGUGAAAUGCGCAGAUAUCAGGAGGAACACCGGUGGCGAAGGCGGGUCUCUGGGCCGGAACUGACGCUAAGGAGCGAAAGCGUGGGGAGCGAACAGG